rnacentral:lncRNA from 1 species
UCUGGGAGUGCUAGCUCGCGAAGAUACAAUACUUUGAAUGAUCUAAGAGGAACACGAAGAAGAUAAAGAAUAAGAAGACCCUCACCUUUUUUUUCUGGAUUCAUGCAUCAGAUCUCUAUAAUAGAGAUCAAGAGAAGAAUACUUUCUUCUCAAUUCUCCCACACACAAGAGAGAAUAUUUUUCUCUUUCUUUCUCACCUUUAAGAAGA